CAGUUACUCCCUCUGUCCCAAAAUAAGUGUCCCAAGCUUAGUACAACUUUGUACUAGAGUUAGUACAAAGUUACUCUAGUACAAAGUUGAGACACUUAUUUUGGGACGGAGGGAGUAUUUU
rfam:Triticum aestivum genome assembly, contig: Triticum_aestivum_CS42_TGACv1_scaffold_623061_7DS